GGCUCCAUAGCGUAGUGGUUAGCACUUCUGCUUUACACGCAGAAGAUCCAUGGGUUCGCACCCCAGGUGGAGCCA
rfam:Pteropus alecto contig35111, whole genome shotgun sequence.